ACUGGAAGGCCAGGAAGGCUGAGUCUGAUGAAGUAGGACUUGGCUGAUACACUCCUCCUAGAGAAACGGGUGGGGAGAGCAGCCCUUACUUGAGAAAACCACAGGUUUGACUUACAACCCAACAUUU